GCGUUAUCCGGAAUGAUUGGGCGUAAAGCGUCUGCAGGUGGCAGUUCAAGUCUGCUGUCAAAGCCCGGGGCUUAACUUCGGAAAGGCAGUGGAAACUGAACAGCUAGAGUAUGGUAGGGGCAGAGGGAAUUCCUGGUGUAGCGGUGAAAUGCGUAGAGAUCAGAAAGAACACCAGCGGCGAAGGCGCUCUGCUGGACCAUAACUGACACUCAGAGACGAAAGCUAG
rnacentral:rRNA from 1 species